UACGUAGGGGGCAAGCGUUGUCCGGAAUCAUUGGGCGUAAAGAGCGUGUAGGCGGCCAGAAAAGUCCGCUGUGAAAACUCGAGGCUCAACUUCGAGCUGUCGGUGGAAACUUUCUGGCUAGAGUCCGGAAGAGGAGAAUGGAAUUCCUGGUGUAGCGGUGAAAUGCGCAGAUAUCAGGAAGAACACCCGUGGCGAAGGCGGUUCUCUGGGACGGUACUGACGCUGGAGAACGCGAAAGCGUGGGGAGCGAACAGG
rnacentral:rRNA from 1 species